GGAGAGAUGGCCGAGUGGUCGAAGGCGCACGCCUGGAAAGUGUGUAGGCGGGGAACCGUCUCGAGGGUUCGAAUCCCUCUCUCUCCG
rfam:Pelagibacterium halotolerans B2, complete genome.